rnacentral:rRNA from 1 species
AUACGGAGGCUGCAAGCGUUACUCGGAAUCACUGGGCGUAAAGCGCGCGCAGGCGGCUAUUUAAGUUGGAUGUGAAAGCCUACGGCUCAACCGUAGAACUGCAUCCAAAACUAUUUAGCUAGAGUGUGGGAGAGGAAGAUGGAAUUAGUUGUGUAGGGGUAAAAUCCGUAGAGAUAACUAGGAAUACCAAAAGCGAAGGCAAUCUUCUGGAACACUACUGACGCUGAGGCGCGAAAGCGUGGGGAGCAAACGGGAUUAGAAACCCUAGUAGUCC